AGGAAAGGUGUGGAGGACAGCAGGAGGAGGGAGAAGGUGAGCCGGAGAGGUAGAGAGUGAGAGAGUCUCUGCAUUUCAAGUGCGUAACAGUGACCUUAGAAUCUCCCUCUAUGUCGUUCACUCUCUCGCUCACUCUGCAUUAAAGUACAAUGCUGCAGCUCUUCAGACCUUUAUCGUCCCGGGAACAACUAAAAGGGUGUCUGCGGGAGGAUGCACCCCUCCCUGCCUCUGUUUCUCUCUUCCUCUCUCUUUUUCUAUAACUUUAUGAUGCGUGGACGGUGAACACUGAUGCUGAGGCCUGAGAGCGGAGGAGAAGUUUGGACUUGUGGGCAGGACGGGCUUCACAGGACUGGGUUGCCCUUUAAAAUUUCUUUGAAUUUAAGAGCGAAGGCUUCUCAUAUUAUGGUCAUUUACCAGGUCAUGAACUUGGAAAAGAAGACAUUUUGGAUGAAGGUAGAUUGAGAAAGUUAAAGAAAAAAGGGAAUUGUGUAAUUUUAAAGAAUUGGUAAUACAAUGGUAUUAGCAUGUUUAGCAUUUGUUUUCUCUCACAAUUUCUUCUGUACUGUUGCUUGUCUCCUGAUAGGUCCAGUUCAUGGCAAACUUGCUGGGGUCCAGUUUGUAGCAUGAAGUGAAUGCACAGGGGAUUCUGACAUCAGUCCCAUUGAGAGUGAGGAUCUGUGGUGGCACCAGCACAUCCAUGGAAUUCACUGGACAGGCUAUGAGAGAUGAAGAUAUACAUGUCUAUGACAUCUGAUUGUGGCAUGAUCUGACUAAUAAAUCUUGGUAUCAGCGGACAAAUACGGGUUCCUCAUCCUUCAGCUGCCAAUCAGAGGGAAGACGUCUGUUGCGUCCAGCUGUGGCAGGAACAUCUGGUGCGAAUGGCAAACCAUGCUGCUUCCAGCGAUUGAGAAUACACACAAACACACACAAACAAAAGCCAUUUUACAUCUUGUGAACAUUUUUUUUUUUUUCUGUGAUAAAUGGUUAAUAAUCAGUUUACACAUGAAAGGAUGUAUGCAUAUUCAUAUUUCACUUAGAAUAAUGAAGAUGCACGUCAUUAAGAAUAGAUUUAAGCUGUAUAAUUAAUGUCCACAUGACAUUUUACAGUAUGAAGUACAGUAUAAAUAUAGAUGGUUUAAAGAGAGUUUUAGAACUUUACAUCUUUAUGUAAUUUCAUAAUUCUGUUGUUUAUGAAAUAUAUAUGGAAUGUACUUUAAGCAUUUAUGGUAAACACUUAAAUGCAAUUUCUGUUGAAACAUGCACCUCUAUGUUAAGCAUGAAAAUAGUUAUUAAAACAAUCAUUUAAAAUGUAGUUCAAACUUAAAUAUUUAAUCUGAAAAUAAUAUUUAAAGUUUUUUUUUUAUGUACUAAAGUGUGUUAAGAAACAUAGUCAUGAAAGUCUCUUUCAUUGAGUACACUUAAGUGGACUUUUAG
ensembl:lncRNA